CCCACAUGUGGAUAAAAUAUUUUCAUGUUUUUAAGAUCAACUGUCUUAACUCCUUUCUGAAAAGUGUUUGGAGUGUCUAACUACAUUAAACUUACUUUGAAGAAUAAAAAUACUGCACAACUGCACACACUUUUAAUGUUCAUGAUUCAAAAUAUUUUAAUUAGAUGUUAUCUGUCUAUCUUUCUUCCACCCACUCCCUGCCCCUACUGAUGGUUAGUGUGUGUCUAAUUUCUUUAAACAGUGUUUAAUAUUGAAUGUGUUGUGUUUUUUAAGUCACUCUGCCAGAUUUGGAACUACAUCUGUGGCCUAUUCCUUUCUAGCUCUGCCCAGCUUUGCUGCUGAUAUUAUCAAUAGUGUUGUAUAUAAAAGCUGAGUGUCAUUAUGAUUUAGAGACCAAUCCUCUGGCAUUGUGCCAAAUAAGUCUAAUUUGGGAUCUGGGGAAUGAUAGACAAGAAAAUUACAACUAGAAGAAAUGUACAUCGAAUUCUAAUUGAAAGCAUGAGGCUUUGGGUGUUUUGCUUUUUUAUUUUGCAUUUUGUUGUUGUUUGGGGAAUUUUAAAAACCUGGAGUUCUGUUACAAAAAAGCCACAAGACAGGUGCAAAAUGAUAUAUUUUAUUCAUUUUUAGGAACAAGAGCAUAAAAUCUCUAUUGAUAGAAUUGUGAGUUAGACUUCACUGAAAAUUAUGAUUUUUAAUAACUGUAUCUGUUAUUUUUAAGCAAACCAAACCUAUUUGGCAAUUAUUGGUGGAGUAACUAAAAACAUUAGAAAAUAAUUUGCUAUUUGUCUUCUUGCAACUUCUCUCUAAGUUUGAAUUCAUUCGCUUUUAGAGAUUCAAUUCUUACCCGUCAGUGAAAACCUUAAAAUAAUUGGAUAUCUUGUGUUACUCAAAUUUAACAUGCCCAAGGUCAGGUUCAACAAAGAAAGUAUUUCACUGGUAAUACAUUUAGUAAAUGCUACAUGUUUAGCCCUCUUGAUUCAGAUUUACUGCCCUGUCUUUGUUUCGAAUUUUGUGUUGACGGCUAUUUUUUCCGGUUUUCAUAGAAAAGUUUGGAGUUAUCUCAUUUCACAUACACUUAUAAGAAGCGUGUUUAUAAUUUCUUACUCUCAUUUCCCAUAUUUAGUAUUUCUACAGGGUUUGUUGCUUCUUUUUAUGAAAUGCCUAGGAUUUACUCAUCCUCUUAUCCCACGCUUCUGUUUCUAGCUAAAUCUUACUCUAACUUCCAUUUAUUCUUGCUAAGUUACUGUCUUUCUGAACUGACCCCAAUCUCUCUCCCUUUCUACUCACCCUGAACUCUGCUUUCUAGAACUGCCCCUACUCUUCAUCCUUUAAGAAUUUGCAAUGCCUCCUUUUCACCUGUCUCCUAAAAGAAGUCUCCUCUGUACUGGGCAAGAAAGGAAGAAGAAUGAAAUUAUAACGUUAUGGAGCACAGUUUAUCAGAUAAUCCCUGCACUGGAAAGUAUUGUUUCCCAGAUAUCAACAAAAUGAAAUGCCUCUUAUGAAGUAACUGGCUGAUCACACCAUAUAGAGGCCUAACUUAGGUGGAAGCCAGCCUACAACGUCAUCUCCUGAACUGAGACAAACCAUUUAAUCGUUUAACUGAGAUUAUCUAUUCUGGGGUCUGAGAAACCGGUUGAAUGGCUUAUGGGACAAUCCACCAACUCAGUUUCUGGACUAUACAAUGUCUUAGGGAAGUUUCAGACAGGUGAAUGUUGAUGUUCAGGACAUACCACUUCGAAAUAUGGCACCUCAGCAUUUGGAAAACCAGCAGAAACAGGAAAGUCUGACUUUCCCCUACCCUUAUUCCCUGAAACAGGCCAUAAAAGAAUUAUCUGACCUUCCUGUAAAGUGAGUCAUAAGACGCUCAUUCCAGAGGGGUCCUUCCUGUACCUAGAGGAAAGAAGUGUCACACAGGCAUAAGGAAUACAAAGAGUCUGAACAAACAGAUCUUAUUUAUGUCCUCCCAGUUUAUUACCUUUAUACUAUAUCUUUUUGUCCUCCAAUAAUACCCUGCAAGACUGUGCAUAAAAAUACAGUGUGCCCUGUUUAGGGAGGUCAUUAUUUCUGAAAGCUUCUGUGUCUUGCAAAACUGAUUUUAAAUAAAUGUGUACGUUUUUGUUUUGUUAACCUGUCUAUUGUUUUAGGGUCCCAGCCAUGAACCCAGCAAUGGGUGAGGCAAUAUAUCACUCUUCUCCUGCACAGUAUUAUAUUUGCAGACUUGUGACAAAAUUUAUAACUGAACUAAAUAGAAAAAUGGGUGAAUAAGUUAUGGCCAUCUGCAUGACAAAUUAUCACAUAUUCAUGGGCAAUGUGUUUUCAAGGAAUUUGUAAUAGGAUGUUCCUUGAAAACACUAUGCAAUCAUUGUUUUCUUUUUUAUUUUUAUGGGAAGCAGAAAUAAUUAAUCAACUAUGGUUUUAAAAAUUCUUCUUGAGCAAUGGGUCUUAUGUUUCUUUACCCCUUCCAAUAAAUACAGGACGCAUUGUGAAGAUGACACAGGAGAAUUUGUUUAAUGUUCCUUUGUUUAGAAAUCUGCCCUGCUUAUUAUUUCCAUUUUAUGUCUUUAUAAGUAAAUUGAGUUAAAAUUGGUUCCCUUGUAGAUCAAUAACUUAAAAAAAAUCAUAGAUGUCACAUGACACACAAUUUCUUCUGUAAGGAAGGUAAUAAAACUUGACUAUUGGCCAGGCUGUCUUUGAAAGGUCUUCAGUGUAGGCUGACGAUGUAUUCCUACAGUUCUAGUGUUUGAAGAAUGUUUGGGUUAUCAAAGAAUUUCAUCUCUGACAGAGUAUUUUAUAUGUAAUCAAAAGAUUCAGAGUGUUUCAUAUGUAAUUUUACUGGUCUGUGUCUUUUGCUCACCGGAAACUUUCCUUUCAGUUAUAUUUAAAAAGGAAAAUAAAAAUUAAGCCACAAUUCACCCCUGAAAGGAAGUAACAGCUAAAUUUGACAGUGCCUAAGUGAGGCAUUUAAUACAAAUAUUAUUAUAAAAAUAUUAAGUGAGAAAUGUGAAAUAUACAACUCUAUAGUGAUAAUAUUCCAACUGUAUAUGUGUCUGUGCUUGCCAGAAAAAUAGACAUUAUACUAAAACAUUAACAGGUGGUUUUCUAUGGAUAUUAAGAUUAUGAAUAUAUUUCUUUUCUUGUUCGUUAUGUAUUU